UUCCCUGGAGUCCAGUCGUUAGGACUCAGCACCUUUACUGCUGUGGUCCUGGGUUCAAUUCCUGGUUGGGGAA
rnacentral:tRNA from 1 species